UUUAUGGAGAGUUUGAUCCUGGCUCAGGAUGAACGCUGGUGGCGUGCCUAAUACAUGCAAGUCGAGCGAACGGACGAGAAGCUUGCUUCUCUGAUGUUAGCGGCGGACGGGUGAGUAACACGUGGAUAACCUACCUAUAAGACUGGGAUAACUUCGGGAAACCGGAGCUAAUACCGGAUAAUAUUUUGAACCGCAUGGUUCAAAAGU
rnacentral:rRNA from 1 species